rnacentral:rRNA from 1 species
UACGUAGGGUGCGAGCGUUGCCCGGAUUUAUUGGGCGUAAAGGGCGCGUAGGCGGCUCUGCACGUCCGUUGUGAAAUCGCCCGGCUCAACUGGGCGGGGUCAGCGGAUACGGCGGAGCUUGAGCAAGCUAGGGGGCAAUGGAAUUCCCGGUGUAGUGGUGGAAUGCGCAGAUAUCAGGAGGAACACCGAUGGCGAAGGCAGGUCACUGGGCCGCAACUGACGCUGAGGAGCGAAAGCAUGGGGAGCGAACAGG